UACGGGGGGGGCAAGCGUUGUUCGGAAUUACUGGGCGUAAAGGGCUCGUAGGUGGCCAACUAAGUCAGACGUGAAAUCCCUCGGCUUAACCGGGGAACUGCGUCUGAUACUGGAUGGCUUGAGUUCGGGAGAGGGAUGCGGAAUUCCAGGUGUAGCGGUGAAAUGCGUAGAUAUCUGGAGGAACACCGGUGGCGAAGGCGGCAUCCUGGACCGGUAUUGACGCUGAGGCGCGAAAGCCAGGGGAGCAAACGGG
rnacentral:rRNA from 1 species